rnacentral:rRNA from 1 species
GUCUUUAUGAUAUAUUUAUAAAGUCUGGCCUGCCCACUGAAUUUUAAAGGGCCGCGGUAUUUUGACCGUGCAAAGGUAGCAUAAUCAUUAGUCUUUUAAUUGGAGGCUUGUAUGAAUGGUUGCACAAGAAAUAAACUGUCUUAAUUUAAUUUAUUGAAUUUAACUUUUAAGUAAAAAGGCUUAAAUAAAUUAAAGUGACGAUAAGACCCUAUAAAACUUUAUAAAUUAAACUAAAAAAAAAUAUUAGUUAAUUGAAAUUUUUUAUUGUUGAAUUUAUUUUAUUGGGGCGAUACAAAUAUAAUAAGUAACUGUUUUUCAUAUUUAAAUGAUAAAUAAUCAUGAACAAUUAAAUGAUCCUUUAAUAAAGAUUGUAAGAUUAAGUUACUUUAGGGAUAACAGCGUAAUUUUCUUUGAGAGUUCAUAUCUACAAGAAAGAUUACGACCUCGAUGUUGAAUUAAAAAAUCUUUAAGGUGUAGCAGCUUUAAUAGAAGGUCUGUUCGACCUUUAAAUUUUU